rnacentral:rRNA from 1 species
UACGGAGGGUGCAAGCAUUAAUCGGAUUUAUUGGGCGUAAAGGGCGCGUAGGCGGAAAUAUAAGUCAGGUGUGAAAUCCCGGGGCUCAACCUCGGAACCGCAUUUGAAACUGUAUGUCUAGAGGGUAGGCGGAGAAAACGGAAUUCCACAAGUAGCGGUGAAAUGCGUAGAUAUGUGGAAGAACACCGGUGGCGAAGGCGGUUUUCUAGCUUAUUCCUGACGCUAAAGCGCGAAAGCAAGGGGAUCAAACAGG